AAAUUAAAGUUGAGAUGGAAAAGUAAUAAUAUUAUAAAGCGCCGACUGAAGUGCGGUGGAGGCUUUUGUCAUCAGCCAUUCCUGUCCCAAUCUUGGCAUUUUUCAUUUCUGUAUUUUUCUUUUGGAAUCACGUCACGUGAACUCGCAUUUGGUUGGUCUCUAGCAAUAACAAAAUGAAAGGUCUGCCUACUAUGCAUAAAGGAUCUGCCAUAAAAAGUGGCCAAUUUGGCCGACAAAUUCUCAUCACUCUGGCGUGAAAAUCUAGAAUAGUGACGUUAGCAAGUGCACUCUGAAGUCACGGCUAUAUCGGCUGUGGCUGUGGGCUAACAAACCCAAUUCUUUGUCUUUUUCUUAAACUACCGUUGGAUAAAAAUUGGACGACUGAGAUUGAGACACGCGACCAGCAGCCCCAUGAAAUAAUCUGAUUGGAAAGUAAUGGGCAGAUUAAAACAAGUGUUAAGCCGUGUUUGGUAUUCACGUAUAGAAAUUUUUAAGUUAGAACUAUUAUAUA
rnacentral:lncRNA from 1 species